rnacentral:ncRNA from 1 species
AAGCCCUGAUGUGUGUGAGAUUACCCGCUGAAUUUAAGCAUAUAAGUAAGCGGAGGAAAAGAAACUAACUAGGAUUCCCUUAGUAAUGGCGAAUGAACAGGGAUCAGCUCAGUGCCAAAUCGGAAUCACUUGUGGUUCUGAAAUGUGGCUUGAAGGCAGUACCAGUGGCAUCGCGGACGAAAGUCUCUUGGAAAAGAGCGUCAUAGAGGGUGAGAAUCCCGUGAGUCGUUCGCCGUUUGUCACGUACGGUCUGCGUUCUAACGAGUCGCGUUCCUUGGGAUUGGAGCGUAAACGGGUGGUAAAUUUCAUCCAAAGCAAAAUAUAUACUCGAGACCGAUAGCACAAAAGUACCGUGAGGGAAAGGUGAAAAGAACUUUGAGAAGAGGGUUAAAUAGUGCCUGAAAUCGUUGAGAAGGAAGCGGAUGCCGCCGUUGCAUAUGCUGAUUGUAGGAUUGCUGCUCGCUCCUGUCUUCUGCUACUCAUUCACAGACCUGGUCGUGUUGAGCAGUUGUUUGGCAGAUGUUAGUGGUGUUUCCUACUUUCAGUCGUCAGCAUCACUGGCUGAGUGGAAAUAAUCCUUGGAUGCUAAUUGGUUCGCUAUCUGUGAAUUGGUUGCUUCCUUGCGAUACUCACUACUCGGUCAGUGAGGAAGUGCGUUUGCUGGUCAACGAGCUUUCUAACUGUCAUUACCCUGCGCUUUUCGAUUCGUCGAGUGGCCAGGAUGUGGCUUUGAGAUUGUUCGCACUUAGUAAUCGCGAUGCUGGCUUCCAACGGUUGCCUCCGGCCCGUCUUGAAACACGGACCAAGGAGUCUAACGUAUGUGCGAGUGUGUGAGUGGCAAACUUAUACGCGUAAUGAAAGUGAGGCCGUAUGGCCAUGUUGGGGUCACCAACAACCGACCUUGAUCUUCGGUGAAAGGUUUGAGUAUGAGCAUAUCCGUUAGGACCCGAAAGA